CGGCACGUAGCGCAGCCUGGUAGCGCACCGUCAUGGGGUGUCGGGGGUCGGGGGUUCAAAUCCUCUCGUGCCGACCA
rnacentral:tRNA from 5 species